rnacentral:lncRNA from 1 species
AAACAAAAAAAAAAAAGAAAAAGAAAAAGAAAAAAAAAAAAUAUAUAUUUAUAUAUAUAUAUGAAAAAAAACAGUUCCCUCUCACCUCAUAAGAAAAAAAUAAACAAUGGACCAUUAUAAAUAAGAACAAAAUAAAAUCGAAAAAAAAUAAAAAUAAAAUAAAUAAAUAAAUAAAUAAGUUUUUACAUACAUAGAAAACGAGUUAUAAAUAUUUUUAACAUAUAUAUAUAUAUAUAUAAAUAUAAAUAAAACGCUUGGAAAAAAAAAGAGAAAGUGUUUUUACAAAGAAAACAAAUUAUAAUUUCUUUUUCAUAUAUAUAUAUAUAUAUAUCAACAUAAAUCUCUUGUAAACAAAAAUAUAAUGAACAGCAUUUGAAUAUUUCUCAUAUAUAUAUGUAUAUGCUAUUAUAUAAUUUAAUUGCUGUAUUUGUAAUGCUUGUACAGUUAUUUAUAUUUUGUAUUGUAUACAUACAUAAAUUAUACUUAUAGAUAAAAAAUUCAAAAGUAAAGUGCGUCAUUCGUUACAGCAAAUAGUUAAUUUUUUUAUAAUUAUACAUGUAAAAACAUAACAAAUGCCAAUUAUAGAUAGAUAUAUAUAUAUAUAUAUAUAUAUAUAUUAUUUAUUUAUAAACUAUUUACUUUUAAACAACUAUACAUGUAGUUCAAGUAAUACAUUUUUUAUUAUUAAUAAUAUACAUUUAAAAAGAUUAUUUAUACAAUAUAAACAAGCGCAUGUAUAAUGUAUAUAUUAUCCCCUUUUUUUUUUUAUUUAAAACAAUAACAUAAAUAACAUAAAUAACAUAAAUAACAAAAAAACCAAAAAAAAGAAAAAAAAAAACAAAAAAAAAAAAAAAAUAGUAAAAAAUGGCACUCUUCAAACCUAUAACAUUAACAAGGAAUAAAAAUAAAAUAUGUGACAUCGACCAGAGUUUGAUUAAGUUCAAUAUUAUGACACAAGGAUAUGAAGAAGGAUGUGUUAUAAAGUCUAUAAGUAUAUGUAAGGAAUAUGUCGCUUUAAGUAAAAACGCAUUGGUAAUAGUAGCUUGUGUAAAAAGCGGUAUGAAAAGAAAACAACAGUGCAAGGAGAAUGUGAGUAAAUUAAAAUUCCGAGAUAGUAAUAUGUUAGGAAUUGGUAUGGAAAAUGGUGAUAUCGAUUUAUUAGGUGUUGGCCUUUUUGAUAUUAUAAAAAAAUUAAAAGGUCAUAAAUCAUCUAUUACAGAUUUAGUCUUUGACACAGAUUUUAGUAAAUUAUAUUCGUGUUCAAGAGAUUUCACCAUAAAAAUAUGGAAUAUAUGGGAAGGUUUAUGUAAAAACACGUUGGAUUAUCAUGUUGAUAAUGUAACAAGUAUUUGUUUAUUUAAUAAUAAUAAUAAUAAUAAUUAUUUAAUAAGUUCUGGUUAUGAUGGUUAUAUUUAUUUUUAUGACAACAAGUUAGAAAAACAAACAAAAAAAUUAGAAAUGGACGAACCUAUAGAAUGUUUCACAAUUUUUAAUAAUACCUACAUAGUUCUCGCAAUAAAAAACCGAAUUAAAAUAUAUACAGUAAAUAAUUUAGAACAUAUAAAAGACAUUUAUGUUUGUACUAAAACUAUUUUUUAUUUAAAUAGUUUUCAAGAUUAUCUUGUUGCAGGUUGUCUAGACAACACUAUUUAUGUUAUAAAUAUGUUUGUUACAAAACCGAAGGAAAUAAAUGUUUUAUCCACAAUUAAAUAUUGCAAAUUAUUAUCAUGCGUUGACGUAUAUGGCAAUAUUUUAUCCUUAGGAGGAGGAAACGGAAAUUGGUUUAUUUGUUUACAAGAUGAGAAAACAAAUAUAAAUUCCAAAAAAAAAGAUGAAAGUUUUUUCAACUGUUAUAAGGAUACAAAAUUUUCUUACCAAAGCCAUAAUAUAUCUAGUUUAGUUAAAAAAUUUAAAUUAAAUGAAGCUUUGAUGUCAUUAAUUAAGCAAGACCCUCGCGCUACAGUUUCCUUACUAGAAUAUUACUCCAAAAACCGUAUGUUACGUAUAGCAUGUAAAACACAUUCCAUAGAAGAUGUAGUGCGCGUCAUUCAAUAUAUAAGAAAAUAUUUUACAACAGAUGCUAUAAUAUCAGAGUUUUUCACAGAAUAUUUAGAUGUUAACCAAUGGAUAAACUCUACAACGAAUGAGAAGUUGUCAUAUGAAUUGUCACUGUUGCUUCGGGUUAUUCAAAACGAGAUGAACGUUAUUAACAAAUUUAAGGAAUUAAAAACUUUUACCGACGAUUUAUUUAAUAAUAGUCUAUAGUAUAACUUUGGAAUGCUUUAGUAUAUUAAUAUAUAUAUAUAUAUAUAUAUAUAUUAAUAUAUACGUUUUUUUGUGUUUGUGAACCGAAUUUUGUUUUUAUUAUUUGAUACCCUAGUUGUAUUUUUCAAUUAGUAUAAUUUACCAUUUUAAUUUAUCCGUCAAUGGAUUUUUUUUUUUUUUUUUUCUCUUUACUGAAUACUUGAAAUUAAUUUUUUAAAGGAUGUUUCUUAUUUCAAUUAUUUGAUUUGUUUGUGUUUAUAAAUCACUAAAAUUUGUAGAAUCUACUUAUUAAAUUCUAUUUAAUUUUUACAAAAACAAAAAAACAAGUAACAUAAAAAACGUUUUAAAUAAUAUUAUAUUAUACAUACAAGUAUAGGUGGUAUACCUUUAUUUUACUUCCGAAACGCACACACAUAUAUAUAUAUAUAUAUAUAUAUAUAUAUGUGUGUGUUCAUGUCAAAAAUAAUAUUUUAUUAUUCACUCCCAUCAUAAAAGUGAUACUUGUUUUAAAAAAAAAAAAAAAAAAUUUUUAUUUAUUUAAAAAAAAAACAAAUAAACAUGUAUGUUUGAAUUUGGAGAAAAAAAAA